UAAAAAUUGCUGAAAUUAAUAAAAGAAUUCAAAGUUUAGGAGAACGGAAUAGAGAAUUGGAGAGUAAUUUAGAAGAUGUGCAUUAUUUCAUUAAAACUUUACAAGA